AGAAUCGACUGGCAGCAAAGAUGUAUGAGUGAGAUUCCAGAGCGCUUACGUGAGGAAUUGCUUCUUCAAAUGUAUCCAAAACAUUGGUUCACAGAUGACGUCAACUGGCCAACAGUAUUUGAGACAUGGGUAAAGUGGAAUAAAUUUUCAUUAACCUGGGCAAAUCAUGUGAAGUGGAGAGAAUGGAGGAACCACCUUACAGCAUUAAUUGUGUUGAAGUAUCGGGUGAUAUCGCUUUUGUUGGUCAUGCACAAGGUGUUCAAUCUUACAACUUGACAUCAGGUGAAUCAACUGUCAUUUUCCAUGGGAUUGCCGUUGACUCAAUGGAACUAUUCACACAACCUGGUGCUCCUACAAAUGACAACGGUACUGCAAAAAUGCCACUCUCCACCUCAAAGAAUCCGAAUAUAAUCCCUAUUUUCCAAGUGGAGACUUUAUGCUGCUGUUGGGUGAAGACACUUACUCAUGUCUAUCUGAUUGUGACAAUUCAAAAGGCAUUUGUUUAUAUAAUAACACGAUUUCAUACUUUGUUAAGAGUUCACCUCUUGUUAUGGCAGCAUUAAACUUCAAGUUGGAGAGAAUCACCUCUUGGUGCUCUGCAGACAUUAAGUCACGGCCAAUUGAUUGUGCUUGUGGCUGUCUGCGUGCCAUGGCAUUUAAGUUGAAAACCUGGAAGUGUGGAAUGUUCUUUGCCAUCAGCAUGUGCAAUAGGCUUUACAUGAAUUUGAGAAAUUCAAGCAUCUAUGUGUAUUUGAAGGAAAAGGUCAUUACAGCCAUUGAGUUAUUUCAAAAUUUCCUCAUUUUGGGAACAGAUGUCGGAUAUUUAUUCCUGUAUCAAAUUCAAAAACUGGAAGAGCUUCUCCAGUUUGACUUAAAUAGCCCCAUUCACCGAAUUGAUGUGGACGACUCUGCAAUAAUUGCCAUUCGUAGUUAUCAAACAAAUUGCACUCCUGGUCUUGCAGUGGCAACUCGAUCUUGUCUUUAUCGGAUCACAGCCAGCGUCUAA
rnacentral:lncRNA from 1 species